rnacentral:SRP_RNA from 2 species
GUUGGGCACGGUUGUGCAUGCCUGUAAUCCCAGCUACUCAGGAGACUGAGGCAGGAGAAUUGCUUGAGCCUAGGAGGCGGAGGUUGCAGUGAGCUGGGAUCAUGCCACUGCACUCUAGCCUGGGCGACAGAGUGAGACUCUGUCUCAA